CAUUGUCAUGACGUCAUAAACGUUACAGAUAAGUUACUUGUUGGAGUUCCACAAUAGUUUACUGAAAUGGCAGUUCUGUAUCCGUGACUUUAUUGCUUUGGUAUUCGAUUACUAAAGAAAUGAAAUAUACAGUUUGUGUUAUCGACAAGGAACAGAUGUCCAACAAAUCACAAAACACUGCGAUGUCAGCAAAGAGAAAAUGUCAAUUUUAUAAUGCUGCACACAGGACAACAAGUAUUAAACCAUGUUGUUUUGACUCGUCUGUGCAGUAGAAGAAUUUCCCGUUGAAGAGCUGGACAGCAAUGACAGCAAAGAUGAACUGGAACAGCAUAUACACCACAAGAAUCUGCGAGACGUUCUUCAGAUCAUUUCUAUGGUGAAGACUCCGGUGAAGAUGAAGUCGAAGUAGUUGAGAAUUUGGUUGCGGAACGACGCCUCUCUGACGGGAUCCUCAGCAGCCAGCGCCACACUGCUGGCGCAGAUCACGAUCAUGAUGAACAGAUCAAAUACCCUGCUGAUUGGCUGCUGAAUUAGCAAGUCUUCAUUGUUCUGUGGCGACGGCGGGCAGAUGUUUACGAGUGGAGGACCGGAGCUGGGAGCAUUUAGCGAGUAAUCGAGAGCUGCCGAGUCCUUCAGUUCUUGUUCUUUC